rnacentral:rRNA from 1 species
AGCAGCCGCGGUAAUUCCAGCUCCAAUAGCGUAUAUUAAAGUUGUUGCAGUUAAAAAGCUCGUAGUUGAAUUUCGGGGUCAGUAGAUUGGUCGUGCCACUGGUAUGCACUGGUCUUACUGGCUCCUCCUUCCUGAUGAACCGUAAUGCCAUUAAUUUGGUGUUGCGGGGAGACUGGACUGUUACUUUGAAAAAAUUAGAGUGUUUAAAGCAGGCUAACGCUUGAAUACAUUAGCAUGGAAUAAUGAAAUAGGACGUUCGAUCUUAUUUUGUUGGUUUCUAAGAUUGACGUAAUGAUUAAUAGGGAUAGUUGGGGGCAUUAGUAUUCAAUUGUCAGAGGUGAAAUUCUUGGAUUUAUUGAAGACUAACUACUGCGAAAGCAUUUGCCAAGGAUGUUUUCAUUAAUCAAGAACGAAAGUUAGGGGAUCGAAGACGAUCAGAUACCGUCGUAGUCUUAACCAUAAACUAUGCCGACUAGGGAUCGGAUGAUGUUAAUUUUUAAUGUACUCAUUCGGCGCCUUA